rnacentral:rRNA from 1 species
CAGUAGCCACGGUAAAACCAGCAGCCCAAGUGGUGGUCGCGAUUAUUGGGCCUAAAGCGCUCGUAGCCGGGCCGGUAAGUCCCUUGUGAAAUCGGACGGCCUAACCGUUCGGCGUGCAAGGGAUACUGUCGGUCUUGAGGCCGGGAGACGUCCGAGGUACUCCGGGGGUAGCGGUGAAAUGUUCUGAUCCUCGGGGGACCACCGGUGGCGAAGGCGUUCGACGAGAACGGGCCUGACGGUGAGGGGCGAAGGCUAGGGGAGCAAACGGGAUUAGAUACCCAUGUAGUCCAUGUCUCUUAUA